ACGAACGCUGGCGGCGUGCUUAACCCAUGCAAGUCGCACGGAAAGGCCUGCUUUUGUGGGGUGCUCGAGUGGCGAACGGGUGAGUAACACGUGAGUAACCUGCCCUUGACUUUGGGAUAACUUCAGGAAACUGGGGCUAAUACCGGAUAGGAGCUCCUGCUGCAUGGUGGGGGUUGGAAAGGUUCGGCGGUUGGGGAUGGACUCGCGGCUUAUCAGCUUGUUGGUGGGGUAGUGGCUUACCAAGGCUUUGACGGGUAGCCGGCCUGAGAGGGUGACCGGCCACAUUGGGACUGAGAUACGGCCCAGACUCCUACGGGAGGCAGCAGUGGGGAAUAUUGCACAAUGGGCGGAAGCCUGAUGCAGCAACGCCGCGUGCGGGAUGACGGCCUUCGGGUUGUAAACCGCUUUCGCCUGUGACGAAGCGUGAGUGACGGUAAUGGGUAAAGAAGCACCGGCUAACUACGUG
rnacentral:rRNA from 1 species